rnacentral:ncRNA from 2 species
UACAUAUUGAUGCGGACAGGUGUUUGCCACGCUAUAUUUGGUAGACUUAAUAGGGAAGUCGGUGAAAUUCCGACGCGGUCCCGCCACUGUGAUGAGAGAGUUCCAUUUGGUUUUUGCGCCACUGAUUAGCUGAUCGGGAAGGCACGAAUGGAGCGAUGACCCCGAGCCAGGAGACCUGCCUGACCGUCAGCACUGUG